CAAAUCUCUUUCUUUUCCCUUUCCUUUUAUUUGCUCCGCCUUUAUUAAUUUCCGUUUCCCGUAAUUUCCUCCUCCUUUUCCCAGUUCCCACCUUGCUUCCUCUCCUCGCUUUGCUUCCUCUCUGGCUCUCUCUCACAUGCCUGCCUACUACUCCCUCAAGCAAGCAAGCAAGCAAGCUGCAAGAGGUCAGGAGGAGCCGUGACUGUGAGUGAGCGGCGUCUGGUGUGAACUGUGAAGUGAGGACUUGUUGGAGGAGGACGGAGCGCGGAGGGUCAUGGCAUGGUGAUGGACCUGCUGCUCCCCCUCACUUUGCCCCUAGGUACCGUACAGGCGUGCGCGCGGGCAUCAGUCACCACCCCUUCCUAACUCCCACCAAAUCUCUCUCCCCUGCUUUCCGCUUUCUCCCACUGUCUCUCUCUCUCUUGAUUUUUUUAUCUGUCUUCUAGCUCCAGAUUUCAAAAAAUUAUUAUCUCUUGUGAGCAACUUAUAGCUGACUACUAGCUGAGACUAAGGCCCUGUUCCAAUCUCGUGAGAUAAACUUUAGCAGCUUUUUUUUAGCUACUUUUAGCCAUUUGUAGUCUAAACAGGAGAGCUAAUGGUGGCAAUUGAAACUAAACUUUAGCACUUCAACUCAUAUAGCUAAAGUUUAGCAGGAAGCUAAAGUUUAUCCCGUGAGAUUGAAACGGGACCUAAAAGGGUGCGGUUUCUGGCUUAACUUCCAUGUUACCGCUAGUGCUCUAGGCAGCCUUAGCUAGCCUCGCAGUCCUGGGAGGAGGAGAAGGACAAGGUCUCUGAUCAG
rnacentral:lncRNA from 1 species